AGGCCUGACCGUUUGUCCUUGAGCCGUAGAUGGUCAACAAUCCGCUAGCUGUCUUGCUCUGACUGGUGCACUGGACAUGAUUUCAAUAGUCAGCCAGACCAUGAUUGAGCUUAAGGGUUGUGCUGCGGAUGCAGCCUGUGCAGUUCCGGGAGAAAGUCACUGUCUCGGGCAAUGCGGUCUGGUAUCAGGUCUUGAUGAUCCUUGCCUGACUGCGGGUUUGUGUACACCUCAAUCCGACUCUGUGUCCUGAACAGAGGCCGCAGUGGUGCAGCGCUUGUGGACGAUCCAUCAACAUCCUGAAAGGUCAACACUACACCAAGCUGGGAAAAUUGAUCCUGAUAGUCAUCCCCAGGUAGUGGAAUGAAUGUUCACUGAACUACAGAGGAAUCACACCCAAAUGACUUUCCUGCCACGACAUUAGUGUGGCCACUCGCGUAGGAAUUCCUUAGCAAACAUGCUCUUUUGCAUGGUGACUGUGGACAUUUUUGCAAAACUAACGCUUUCAACACUGGAUUUAAAAGAGAAUACUUAAUAAA